rnacentral:rRNA from 1 species
AACGUAGGACGCAAGCGUUAUCCGGAGUUAUUGGGCGUAAAGAGCGUGUAGGCGGCCAAGUAGGUCCGGUGUGAAAACUCGAGGCUUAACCUCGAGAUGUCAUCGGAAACCAUUUGGCUAGAGUCCGGAAGAGGAAAGUGGAAUUCCUGGUGUAGCGGUGAAAUGCGCAGAUAUCAGGAAGAACACCAAUGGCGAAAGCAGCUUUCUGGGACGGUACUGACGCUGAGACGCGAAAGCGUGGGGAGCGAACAGG